UACAGAGGUGGCAAGCGUUGUUCGGAAUUACUGGGCGUAAAGGGCGCGUAGGCGGCCUUAUAAGUCUCGUGUGAAAGCCCUCGGCUUAACUGAGGAUCUGCACGGGAUACUGUAGGGCUUGAGUUCGGGAGAGGAAAGCGGAAUUCCUGGUGUAGCGGUGAAAUGCGCAGAUAUCAGGAGGAACACCGGUGGCGAAGGCGGGUCUCUGGGCCGUAACUGACGCUGAGGAGCGAAAGCGUGGGGAGCGAACAGG
rnacentral:rRNA from 1 species